UGGGGAAUAUUGGACAAUGGGCGAAAGCCUGAUCCAGCCAUGCCGCGUGUGUGAAGAAGGUCUUCGGAUUGUAAAGCACUUUAAGUUGGGAGGAAGGGCAGUAAAUUAAUACUUUGCUGUUUUAACGUUACCGACAGAAUAAGCACCGGCUAACUCUGUGCCAGCAGCCGCGGUAAUACAGAGGGUGCAAGCGUUAAUCGGAAUUACUGGGCGUAAAGCGCGCGUAGGUGGUUCGUUAAGUUGGAUGUGAAAUCCCCGGGCUCAACCUGGGAACUGCAUUCAAAACUGACGAGCUAGAGUAUGGUAGAGGGUGGUGGAAUUUCCUGUGUAGCGGUGAAAUGCGUAGAUAUAGGAAGGAACACCAGUGGCGAAGGCGACCACCUGGACUGAUACUGACACUGAGGUGCGAAAGCGUGGGGAGCAAAACAGGAUUAGAUACCCUGGUAGUCCACGCCGUAAACGAUGUCAACUAGCCGUUGGGAGCCUUGAGCUCUUAGUGGCGCAGCUAACGCAUUAAGUUGACCGCCUGGGGAGUACGGCCGCAAGGUUAAAAC
rnacentral:rRNA from 1 species